rnacentral:sRNA from 1 species
CUAUCGAUUGGCAAGACACCACAUGACACCAUCUCAUGCCUUGAGCUUGAGAAGGAAGGGAAGACCAGACCAGGACAAUCACAUAGAGUGAGCUCCUCUGAGAUUAUCAGCGUCUGGAAAUGCUUUGUUUUGCCAGGUGUGUGAGUAACACCAGUCUUCUUCUCACCAACUAAAGCAUUGAUUGUUGAACUCUUUCCAACAUUUGGAUAACCAACAAAUCCAACAACAACAUGCUUAGCCACUGAUGAAACAGAAUCAGAGGAAGUGGCUCUGCUGUCCUCUUUGAUGGCUGCGGCCCUCCUUUGUGCUACAAUGAAUUCUGCUUCAGUUUGCAAUUUCUUUAAGAGUUCAUCCCUGCCAUAUAUCUUGGUGUCCAAAUCAAGUGAAGCAGAAUCUUGUUCAGAGUAUCCACUUAAUAUUUUGCCUUCUAAUGUGGCAGUAGCAGCUUUAGCGGACCAGAAAACAUAGAGAAUAUCAUGUGCCUUAAAAUAUGACAUGGCACAAAAGUGUAUACCUGAUAUUCAUUGGUAACAGAUCAGCCUUGUUGACAAGAAUCAUUGUCCUCUUGUGUUCAUCAAUUUCUUUUG